CCUACGGGUGGCUGCAGUAGGGAAUAUUGCUCAAUGGGGGAAACCCUGAAGCAGCAACGCCGCGUGGGGGAUGAAGGUUUUCGGAUUGUAAACUCCUUUUGGUAGAGAAGAUAAUGACGGUAUCUAACGAAUAAGCACCGGCUAACGCCGUGCCAGCAGCCGCGGUAAUACGGAGGGUGGAAGCGGUACUCGGAAUCACUCGGCGUAAAGGGCGCGUAGGCGGGAUAGCAAGUCAGUUGUGAAAUCCUAUGGCUUAACCAUCGAACUGCAAUUGAAACUGGUGUUCUAGAGUAUGGGAGAGGUAGGUGGAAUUCUUGGUGUAGCGGUGAAAUGCGUAGAGAUCAAGAGGAAUACUGAUUGCGAAGGCGGCCUGCUGGA
rnacentral:rRNA from 1 species